rnacentral:rRNA from 1 species
GAUGAACGCUGGCGGCGUGCUUAACACAUGCAAGUCGAACGGAAAGGCCUCAGCUUGCUGGGGUACUCGAGUGGCGAACGGGUGAGUAACACGUGGGUGAUCUGCCCUGCACUUUGGGAUAAGCUCGGGAAACUGGGUCUAAUACCGAAUAUGACCACUUCUUGGAUGUUGUGGUGGAAAGCUUUUGCGGUGUGGGAUGAGCCUGCGGCGUAUCAGCUGUGUGGUGGGGUAAUGGCCUACCAAGGCGGCGACGGGUAUCCGGCCUGAGGGGGUGUACGGACACAUUGGGACUGAGAUACGGCCCAGACUCCUACGGGAGGCAGCAGUGGGGAAUAUUGCACAAUGGGCGCAAGCCUGAUGCAGCGACGCCGCGUGGGGGAUGAAGGCCUUCGGGUUGUAAACUCCUUUCGCUAUCGACGAAGCCACUUGUGGUGACGGUAGGUAGAUAAGAAGCACCGGCUAACUACGUGCCAGCCGCCGCCGUAA